UACGUAGGGGGCAAGCGUUGUCCGGAAUCAUUGGGCGUAAAGCGCGUGUAGGCGGCCCGGUAAGUCCGCUGUGAAAGUCGGGGGCUCAACCCUCGAAUGCCGGUGGAUACUGUCGGGCUAGAGUGCGGAAGAGGCGAGUGGAAUUCCUGGUGUAGCGGUGAAAUGCGCAGAUAUCAGGAGGAACACCAAUUGCGAAGGCAGCUCGCUGGGACGGUACUGACGCUGAGGCACGAAAGCGUGGGGAGCAAACAGG
rnacentral:rRNA from 1 species